GUGGCCCAAUGGUUAGAGCGUCUGCCCCAGAUGCGAGAGGUCGUGGGUUCGAACUCCGGUCGAGUCA